UACGUAGGGGGCAAGCGUUGUCCGGAAUUAUUGGGCGUAAAGAGCGUGUAGGCGGCCCGAUUAGUCCGCUGUGAAAGUCCAGGGCUCAACCCCGGGAGGCGGGCGGAUACUGUCGGGCUAGAGUCCGGAAGAGGCGAGUGGAAUUCCUGGUGUAGCGGUGAAAUGCGCAGAUAUCAGGAGGAACACCAAUGGCGAAGGCAGCUCGCUGGGACGGUACUGACGCUGAGACGCGAAAGCGUGGGGAGCAAACAGG
rnacentral:rRNA from 1 species